rnacentral:lncRNA from 1 species
AAACAUAGGCCAAAUGGGCCACGCUCAUCGACACGUCUCCGAACGUAGGCCAAACAGGCCACUCUCAUCGACACGUCUCCAGACGUAGGCCAAACGAGCCACUCUCAUCGACACGUCUCCGGGCGUAGGUCAAACGGGUCACACUCAUCGACACAUCCCCGGACGUAGGCCAAAUAGGCCACUCUCAUCUACACAUCUCCGGACGUAGGCCAAACGG